rnacentral:rRNA from 1 species
CCCUACGGGGUGCAGCAGGUCGAUCACGUCCUGGUACUUCUCCUUGAUGCCGACCACCGCGCGGCCCGCCCCGACGCGUUGCAUGCCGGCGGCCAUGCCUUCGAUCACUCCCUCGACGUAGUCGCGGAGCACCUCCUUGUCCUUGUGGAGCAGGGGUUCGCACUCGGCAGCGUUCAGCAGCAGGGUAUCGGCUCGGCCCGAGAGCUUGACGUGGGUGGGGAAGCCUGCCCCCCCAGCUCCAACCACGCCCGCCUCGGCGACUUUCUCGAUGGUAAGAUGGGCCAUGACGAUCCUUAUCGGUAAUGCAGGUAAUCUCCCUAGUAUAGCGUUUUUCACGGCGGGGGGGC